rnacentral:rRNA from 1 species
UACGUAGGGGGCAAGCGUUGUCCGGAAUCAUUGGGCGUAAAGAGCGUGUAGGCGGCUCGGUAAGUCUGCUGUGAAAGUCCAGGGCUCAACCCUGGAAUGCCGGUGGAAACUGUCGAGCUAGAGUCCGGAAGAGGCGAGUGGAAUUCCUGGUGUAGCGGUGAAAUGCGCAGAUAUCAGGAGGAACACCCGUGGCGAAGGCGGCUCUCUGGGACGGUACUGACGCUGAGACGCGAAAGCGUGGGGAGCGAACAGG